rnacentral:rRNA from 1 species
GACAGAGGUGCCGAGCGUUAGGCGGAAUCACUGGGCUUAAAGCGUGUGUAGGCGGGCGGGCAAGUACCUUGUGAAAUCCCACGGCUCAACCGUGGAACUGCUGGGUAUACUGCUCGUCUUGAGCCCAUCAGGGGCGAGCGGAACAGACGGUGGAGCGGUGAAAUGCGUAGAUAUCGUCUGGAACGCCGAAGGUGAAAACAGCUCGCUGGGAUUGUGCUGACGCUGAGACACGAAAGCCAGGGGAGCGAACGGG